rnacentral:rRNA from 1 species
UCGACGUAGUUGAUCAUGCUCAGAACACGCUGGCGGCAGGCCUAACACAUGCAAGUCGAGCGAACCCUUCGGGGUUAGCGGCGGACGGGUUAGUAACGCGUGGGAAUAUACCCUUUGGUACGGAAUAGCCUCGGGAAACUGAGAGUAAUACCGUAUGUACCCUUCGGGGGAAAGAUUUAUCGCCAAAGGAUUAGCCCGCGUUGGAUUAGAUAGUUGGUGGGGUAAUGGCCUACCAAGUCUACGAUCCAUAGCUGGUUUGAGAGGAUGAUCAGCAACACUGGGACUGAGACACGGCCCAGACUCCUACGGGAGGCAGCAGUGGGGAAUCUUAGACAAUGGGCGCAAGCCUGAUCUAGCCAUGCCGCGUGGACGAUGAAGGCCUUAGGGUUGUAAAGUCCUUUCAGAUGGGAAGAUAAUGACGGUACCAUCAGAAGAAGCCCCGGCUAACUCCGUG